rnacentral:rRNA from 1 species
GACGAACGCUGGCGGCGUGCUUAACACAUGCAAGUCGAACGGAAAGGCCCUGCUUUUGUGGGGUGCUCGAGUGGCGAACGGGUGAGUAACACGUGAGUAACCUGCCCUUGACUUUGGGAUAACUUCAGGAAACUGGGGCUAAUACCGGAUAGGAGCUCCUGCUGCAUGGUGGGGGUUGGAAAGUUUCGGCGGUUGGGGAUGGACCCGCGGCUUAUCAGCUUGUUGGUGGGGUAGUGGCUUACCAAGGCUUUGACGGGUAGCCGGCCUGAGAGGGUGACCGGCCACUUUGGGACUGUGAUACGGCCCAGACUCCUACGGGAGGCAGCAGUGGGGAAUAUUGCACAAUGGGCGGAAGCCUGAUGCAGAAACGCCGCGUGCGGGAUGACGGCCUUCGGGUUGUAAACCGCUUUCGCCUGUGACGAAGCGUGAGUGACGGUAAUGGGUAAAGAAGCACCGGCUAACUACGUG